rnacentral:rRNA from 1 species
GAUGAACGCUAGCGGCAGGCUUAACACAUGCAAGUCGAGGGGUAGAGGUUGCUUGCAACCUUGAGACCGGCGCACGGGUGCGUAACGCGUAUGCAACCUACCUUUUACAGAGGGAUAGCCCAGAGAAAUUUGGAUUAAUACCUCAUAGUAUAUAACCUUCGCAUGUUGGUUAUAUUAAAGUUCCCACGGUAAAAGAUGGGCAUGCGUCCUAUUAGCUAGAUGGUAAGGUAACGGCUUACCAUGGCAACGAUAGGUAGGGGUCCUGAGAGGGAGAUCCCCCACACUGGUACUGAGACACGGACCAGACUCCUACGGGAGGCAGCAGUGAGGAAUAUUGGACAAUGGGCGCAAGCCUGAUCCAGCCAUGCCGCGUGCAGGAAGAAGCAUCUAUGGUGUGUAAACUGCUUUUGUACAGGAAAAAACACCCCGACGUGUCGGGGCUUGACGGUACUGUAAGAAUAAGGAUCGGCUAACUCCGUGCCAGCCGCCGCCGUAAAAC